CCUACGGGAGGCAGCAGUAGGGAAGCUUCCACAAUGGACGAAAGUCUGAUGGAGCAACGCCGCGUGAGUGAAGAAGGGUUUCGGCUCGUAAAGCUCUGUUGGUAGUGAAGAAAGAUAGAGGUAGUAACUGGCCUUUAUUUGACGGUAAUUACUUAAAAAGUCACGGCUAACUACGUGCCAGCAGCCGCGGUAAUACGGAGGUGGCAAGCGUUAUCCGGAUUUAUUGGGCGUAAAGGGAACGCAGGCGGGCCUUUAAGUCUGAUGUGAAA
rnacentral:rRNA from 1 species